rnacentral:rRNA from 6 species
AAACGACUCUCGGCAACGGAUAUCUCGGCUCACGCAUCGAUGAAGAACGUAGCAAAAUGCGAUACUUGGUGUGAAUUGCAGAAUCCCGUGAACCAUCGAGUUUUUGAACGCAAGUUGCGCCCGAAGCCAUCUGGUUGAGGGCACGCCUGCCUGGGCGUCACGC